rnacentral:rRNA from 1 species
AACGAACGCUGGCGGCAUGCCUAACACAUGCAAGUCGAACGAGACCUUCGGGUCUAGUGGCGCACGGGUGCGUACCGCGUGGGAACCUGCCCUUAGGUUCGGAAUAACUCCCCGAAAGGGGUGCUAAUACCGGAUAAUGUCUUCGGACCAAAGAUUUAUCGCCUUUGGAUGGGCCCGCGUUGGAUUAGCUAGUUGGUAGGGUAAAAGCCUACCAAGGCGACGAUCCAUAGCUGGUCUGAGAGGAUGAUCAGCCACACUGGGACUGAGACACGGCCCAGACUCCUACGGGAGGCAGCAGUGGGGAAUAUUGGACAAUGGGCGAAAGCCUGAUCCAGCAAUGCCGGGUGAGUGAUGAAGGCCUUAGGGUUGUAAAGCUCUUUUACCCGGGAUGAUAAUGACAGUACCGGGAGAAUAAGCUCCGGCUAACUCCGUG